CUCGUUGUGCGACCAACGAUAGCCUAAGAAAACAUGCGUCAUCGGUAACGGUGAGGUGUGAAGCUUUUCUGACAACGUAGCCCCUUUACAGGCAUGUUCUUGCCGCGAGGCAGGGCAUGGAUGCUCGGAGCAGUACCGGGUUGAGGCG
rnacentral:ncRNA from 1 species